ACGAACGCUGGCGGCGUGCUUAACACAUGCAAGUCGAACGGAAAGGCCCUGCUUUUGUGGGGUGCUCGAGUGGCGAACGGGUGAGUAACACGUGAGUAACCUGCCCUUGACUUUGGGAUAACUUCAGGAAACUGGGGCUAAUACCGGAUAGGAGCUCCUGCUGCAUGGUGGGGGUUGGAAAGUUUCGGCGGUUGGGGAUGGACUCGCGGCUUAUCAGCUUGUUGGUGGGGUAGUGGCUUACCAAGGCUUUGACGGGUAGCCGGCCUGAGAGGGUGACCGGCCACAUUGGGACUGAGAUACGGCCCAGACUCCUACGGGAGGCAACAGUGGGGAAUAUUGCACAAUGGGCGGAAGCCUGAUGCAGCAACGCGGCGUGCGGGAUGACGGCCUUCGGGUUGUAAACCGCUUUCGCCUGUGACGAAGCGUGAGUGACGGUAAUGGGUAAAGAAGCACCGGCUAACUACGU
rnacentral:rRNA from 1 species